rnacentral:misc_RNA from 1 species
GAAAUGCGAUACGUAAUGUGAAUUGCAGAACAAGUGAAUCAUCAAAUCUUUGAACGCACAUUGCACCAGGGCUCACUCUCUGGUAUGCUUGUCUGAGUGUCACUUUUCAUUCUCAACCCAUUCAAACCUGUUUGGGAUGGAUUAUGAUUUUCAAAGAGUUUGCUCUUUGUGAAUUUAAAGUGAUUUGCUGGACUCUUUUUAUUGAUCCUGACCUUGAAACAUAGUGAAUCUUUAUGAUAAACUUUGCAUUCUAUCUAGAUCCAUCAAAAAAGAAAGUUUUAGCAUUCAGUAAUCUUUAGAAAUAAUCUAAAGCCAAAACACCUAAUCUGACCUCAGAUCAAGUAACAUUACCCGCUGAAUUUAA